rnacentral:rRNA from 1 species
GACGAACGCUGGCGGCGGGCUUAACACAUGCAAGUCGAACGGAAAGGCCCUGCUUUUGUUGGGUGCUCGAGUGGCGAACGGGUGAGUAACACGUGAGUAACCUGCCCUUGACUUUGGGAUAACUUCAGGAAACUGGGGCUAAUACCGGAUAGGAGCUCCUGCUGCAUGGUGGGGGUUGGAAAGUUUCGGCGGUUGGGGAUGGACUCGCGGCUUAUCAGCUUGUUGGUGGGGUAGUGGCUUACCAAGGCUUUGACGGGUAGCCGGCCUGAGAGGGUGACCGGCCACAUUGGGACUGAGAUACGGCCCAGACUCCUACGGGAGGCAGCAGUGGGGAAUAUUGCACAAUGGGCGGAAGCCUGAUGCAGCAACGCCGCGUGCGGGAUGACGGCCUUCGGGUUGUAAACCGCUUUCGCCUGUGACGAAGCGUGAGUGACGGUAAUGGGUAAAGAAGCACCGGCUAACUACGUG